rnacentral:rRNA from 1 species
AAGUCGUAACAAGGUUUCCGUAGGUGAACCUGCGGAAGGAUCAUUAUCAAAACAGCGGACUUCGGUCCUUGCUGCACCCUUGUCUUUUGCGUACCGUAUGUUUCCUCGGCGGGCUUGCCUGUCGGUUGGACAAUAUCAAACCUUUUUGUAGUUGCAAUCAGCGUCAGAAAAUAAACAAUAAUUACAACUUUCAACAACGGAUCUCUUGGUUCUGGCAUCGAUGAGGAACGCAGCGAAAUGCGAAAAGUAGUGUGAAUUGCAGAAUUCAGUGAAUCAUCGAAUCUUUGAACGCACAUUGCGCCCCUUGGUAUUCCAUGGGGCAUGCCUGUUCGAGCGUCAUUUUGUACCCUCAAGCACUGCUUGGUGUUGGGCGUUUGUCCUGCAAAGGACUCGCCUGAAAGCGAUUGGCGGCCAACGUACUGGUGGUAGAGCGCAGCACAAUUUGCGUCUCUCCCUUCUACGUUUGCGUCCAUGAAGCCUUUUUCAAACGUUUGACCUCGGAUCAGGUAGGGAUACCCGCUGAACUUAA